rnacentral:rRNA from 1 species
AAAUACCAAGGCGAUCGGGUGAACUGUGGUUAAGGAACUCGGCAAAUUGCCCCCGUAACUUCGGGAGAAGGGGGACCUCUGUUGGUGAUGGGCUUUACGCCUGGAGCUGGUGGGGGUCGCAGUGGCCAGGGGGAAGCGACUGUUUACUAAAAACACAGGUCCGUGCGAAGUCGUAAGACGAUGUAUACGGACUGACGCCUGCCCGGUGCCGGAACGUUAAGGGGACCGCUUAGCCGACGUGAGUUGGCGAAGGUGAGAACUUAAGCGCCGGUAAACGGCGGUGGUAACUAUAACCAUCCUAAGGUAGCGAAAUUCCUUGUCGGGUAAGUUCCGACCUGCACGAAUGGCGUAACGACUUCCCCGCUGUCUCAACCGCAGACCCGGCGAAAUUGCACUACGAGUAAAGAUGCUCGUUUCGCGCAGCAGGACGGAAAGACCCCGGGACCUUCACUACAGCUUGACAUUGGCGUUUGGAACGUCUUGUGUAGGAUAGGUGGGAGACUGGGAAGCUGUCACGCUAGUGAUGGUGGAGUCAUUGGUGAAAUACCACUCUGGUCGUUUUGAACGUCUAACUCUGGUCCGUGAUCCGGAUCGGGGACAGUGUCUGGUGGGUAGUUUAACUGGGGCGGUUGCCUCCUAAAGAGUAACGGAGGCGCCCAAAGGUUCCCUCAGCCUGGUUGGCAAUCAGGUGUUGAGUGUAAGUGCACAAGGGAGCUUGACUGUGAGACUGACAGGUCGAGCAGGAGCGAAAGCUGGGACUAGUGAUCCGGCAUCGGCGUGUGGAAGCGGUGUCGCUCAACGGCUAAAAGGUACCCCGGGGAUAACAGGCUGAUCUUCCCCAAGAGUCCAUAUCGACGGGAUGGUUUGGCACCUCGAUGUCGGCUCGUCGCAUCCUGGGGCUGGAGUAAGUCCCAAGGGUUGGGCUGUUCGCCCAUUAAAGCGGUACGCGAGCUGGGUUUAGAACGUCGCGAGACAGUUCGGUCCCUAUCCGCUGCGCGCGCAGGAGACUUGAAGGGGGCUGUCCCUAGUACGAGAGGACCGGGACGGACGAACCUCUGGUGUGCCAGUUGUACCGCCAGGUGCACGGCUGGUUGGCUACGUUCGGAAGGGAUAACCGCUGAAAGCAACUAAGCGGGAAGCUCGCCUUGAGAUGAGGUCUCCCACCACGAGAGUGGGUAAGGCUCCCGGUAGACGACCGGGUUGAUAGGCCGGAGGUGGAAGCACGGUAACGUGUGGAGCUGACCGGUACUAAUAGGCCGAGGACUUGACC